GACGAACGCUGGCGGCGUGCUUAACACAUGCAAGUCGAACGCUGAAGCUUGGUGCUUGCACUGGGUGGAUGAGUGGCGAACGGGUGAGUAAUACGUGAGUAACCUGCCCUUGACUCUGGGAUAAGCCUGGGAAACUGGGUCUAAUACUGGAUACGACAUGCCUCUGCAUGGUGGUGUGUGGAAAGGGUUUUACUGGUUUUGGAUGGGCUCACGGCCUAUCAGCUUGUUGGUGGGGUAAUGGCCUACCAAGGCGACGACGGGUAGCCGGCCUGAGAGGGUGACCGGCCACACUGGGACUGAGACACGGCCCAGACUCCUACGGGAGGCAGCAGUGGGGAAUAUUGCACAAUGGGCGGAAGCCUGAUGCAGCGACGCCGCGUGAGGGAUGACGGCCUUCGGGUUGUAAACCUCUUUCAGCACGGAAGAAGCGAGAGUGACGGUACGUGCAGAAGAAGCGCCGGCUAACUACGUG
rnacentral:rRNA from 1 species